rnacentral:rRNA from 1 species
GAUGAACGCUGGCGGCGUGCCUAAUACAUGUAAGUCGAGCGAACAGACGAGGAGCUUGCUCCUCUGACGUUAGCGGCGGACGGGUGAGUAACACGUGGUUAACCUACCUAUAAGACUGGGAUAACUUCGGGAAACCGGAGCUAAUACCGGAUAACAUGUUGAACCGCAUGGUUCAACAGUGAAAGACGGUUUUGCUGUCACUUAUAGAUGGAUCCGCGCCGCAUUAGCUAGUUGGUAAGGUAACGGCUUACCAAGGCAACGAUGCGUAGCCGACCUGAGAGGGUGAUCGGCCACACUGGAACUGAGACACGGUCCAGACUCCUACGGGAGGCAGCAGUAGGGAAUCUUCCGCAAUGGGCGAAAGCCUGACGGAGCAACGCCGCGUGAGUGAAGAAGGUCUUCGGAUCGUAAAACUCUGUUAUUAGGGAAGAACAAAUGUGUAAGUAACUAUGCACGUCUUGACGGUACCUAAUCAGAAAGCCACGGCUAACUACGUG